AUUGAACGCUGGCGGCAUGCCUUACACAUGCAAGUCGAACGCAUCCUUCGGGGUGAGUGCCCGACGGGUGAGUAACGCGUGGGAAUCUAUCUAUCUCUGCGGAAUAGUGCCUGGAGACUGGAAUUCAUACCGAAUACGCCCUACGGGGGAAAGAUUUAUCGGGGAUGGAUGAGCCCGCGUUGGAUUACCUAGUUGGGGGGGUAAAGGCCUACCAAGGCGAUGAUCCAUAGCUGGUCUGAGAGGAUGAUCAGCCACAUUGGGACUGAGACACGGCACAGACUCCUACGGGAGGCAGCAGUGGGGAAUAUUGGACAAUGGGCGCAAGCCUGAUCCAGCCAUGCCGCGUGAGUGAUGAAGGCCUUAGGGUUGUAAAGCUCUUUCACCGAUGAAGAUAAUGACGGUAGUCGGAGAAGAAGCCCCGGCUAACUUCGUGCCAGCCGCCGCUGUAA
rnacentral:rRNA from 1 species